CAAAAAGCUUCUGCAUUUGGAUGUGGACCAGAAUGCGCUUAUGGUCAUACCUUUCCUUCAAAAGCUCCCAAGCCUUAUCAUAAUUCGCUGCCUCCACUGACAAAUUUUGCAAAAAUCGAUUUGCGUCACCAAUUAGACAUGAUUGUAAAAAGUGCAGUUUGUCAAUGUCGUCUAUGCUCUUAGUCCACAAUGGACGAGAGCCUGGAACCUAUCUUGAAAAGCACGCCAGGUGGUAUAUGAACCGUCGAAGUUUGGCAGAUCGAUUCGAGGUAGUCGAAUCCCCGUAUGCGAUGAUGACGCAGCUGUAGAAAGGGGCGGAGCACCCGUAUCUGACAAAGCCGCAAUAAUUGGCGAAGAUUUCUCGAUUGCCUCUACUAACUCUGCACGAUAUUCAAGCAUACCUGCCCCAAUGAUGGCUUCGUGGUAGGAUUUUGACGUGGACAAAUCAUCUUCCAAUUUACUGAGACGACCUGUGGCAUAAGAUUUCACCCUACGCUCUUUUGGAGCCUUUUUAAAGUUGAAUACAACAGUUGUUAAAUGUAGACAAGUUUACGACACUUAAAAAGGCAACUUACUGCUUUGUGUUUUACUGAUGCUGUAUCUGAU